GUGUGGAAAAGGCGCCCAAAACAAAACGUUACGUUAGUUGGAAGGAGGACAGAAACUGCAGACAUUCAAGGUAAGAUAUGUGUUUAAUAUUAAUAAUAUAAUAUAUAAUAAUGUAAAUAGCCUAUAAAUAAUAAUAACAAUAAUAAAGAAAACUCGGAGGGUGAAUCGUGACUCAUUAAUUAAUUUAUUCCCCCACAUUUAAACAUAGCCGGAAGGCGUGGAAAAAGGCGCCCAGUUGGAGGGAGGGCGUCGGAACCAUAGACAGUAAAAGAAGGUCGGAACCUCCUAAAAGUCAAGUUACAGAACAUUUCUGGUGGGCAAAUAUACAGUGUCAAGUCACCAUUAAGGAACUGUCAGAAACAGCAGGCUAACAGCAACGGCCACCGAUCAAGAGAUAGAAUUCUUUAUAAAAAAAAUGGCUUCACCUUGCAUGUGACCGAGAUGGAGGGAGAAGAGAAAGAUAGAAACGAAAGAGUGUCCAAGAAACCUGCCUGCAAGAUUGCCAUGAUGCUGAUGGGCCCAGUCAAGGAGGUCAAUAAAUCCUAUAAGUUUGGAUUGUUCCUGUUGCCAAGGUUCUGCAGUGUUCACUACUACAACGUCGGACAAGUUUGUUUUUGGAUGAGCUAACCUAUACAUAGCUACUGGAUGUACUUGAUGUUUUUUUUUUCCAUGUUUAGAUUGCUUCUCAGUUUUGGAAAUGUAAUCAUUCAAUGGGUUUUUCAUUGGCAAUAUUAAUAAAUAAUGCA